UACAGAGGGGGCAAGCGUUAUUCGGAAUUACUGGGCGUAAAGCGCACGUAGGCGGCUUUCUAAGUCGGGGGUGAAAUCCUGGAGCUCAACUCCAGAACUGCCUUCGAUACUGGAGAGCUCGAGUCCGGGAGAGGUGAGUGGAACUGCGAGUGUAGAGGUGAAAUUCGUAGAUAUUCGCAAGAACACCAGUGGCGAAGGCGGCUCACUGGCCCGGUACUGACGCUGAGGCGCGAAAGCGUGGGGAGCAAACAGG
rnacentral:rRNA from 1 species